GGGAGGCAGCAGUGGGGAAUUUUGGACAAUGGGCGAAAGCCUGAUCCAGCAAUGCCGCGUGAGUGAAGAAGGCCUUCGGGUUGUAAAGCUCUUUUGUCAGGGAAGAAACGGCUCAAGCUAAUAUCUUGGGCUAAUGACGGUACCUGAAGAAUAAGCACCGGCUAACUACGUGCCAGCAGCCGCGGUAAUACGUAGGGUGCAAGCGUUAAUCGGAAUUACUGGGCCUAAAGCGUGCGCAGGCGGUUCUGUAAGUCUGUCGUGAAAUCCCCGGGCUUAACCUGGGAAUUGCGAUGGAGACUGCAAGGCUAGAAUCUGGCAGAGGGGGGUAGAAUUCCACGUGUAGCAGUGAAAUGCGUAGAGAUGUGGAGGAACACCGAUGGCGAAGGCAGCCCCCUGGGUCAAGAUUGACGCUCAUGCACGAAAGCGUGGGGAGCAAACAGGAUUAGAUACCCCCGUA
rnacentral:rRNA from 1 species